rnacentral:rRNA from 1 species
UGUCGCCUGUUUAUCAAAAACAUUAAGAAUUUAUUUAGGGUGAAGCCUGCCCAAUGAAAUUUUUUAAUGGCCGCGGUACUUUGACCGUGCUAAGGUAGCAUAAUCAGUUGACUUUUAAAUGGAGUCUGGAAUGAAGGGAAAAACGGGAUUUGACUGUCUCUAACUUUUUAUUUUGAAUUUACUAAUUAGGUGAAAAGGCCUAAAUAUGAUAAAGGACGAGAAGACCCUUAGAGCUUUAAAUAUUUUUUCGUUGGGGCGACGUGGAGUCAAAAAACACUCUAAUAGAAAUAUGACGGAUUUUUCAUGAUUAGAUAAGCUACCUGAGGGAUAACAGCAUAAUUUUUUUAAGUUUGUGACCUCGAUGUUGGACUAGGAAGUCUUCAGGCUAGCCGCCUGAAAGAGGGAUUCUGUUCGAAUUUUUACUCCU